UACGAAGGGUGCAAACGUUGCUCGGAAUUACUGGGCGUAAAGCGCACGUAGGCGGAUUUGCCAGUCAGGGGUGAAAUCCCGGGGCUCAACCUCGGAACUGCCUCUGAUACAGCAAGUCUUGAGUCCGGAAGAGGUGGGUGGAAUUCCUAGUGUAGAGGUGAAAUUCGUAGAUAUUAGGAAGAACACCAGUGGCGAAGGCGGCCCACUGGUCCGGUACUGACGCUGAGGUGCGAAAGCGUGGGGAGCAAACAGG
rnacentral:rRNA from 1 species